UUGAACGCUGGCGGCAUGCCUUACACAUGCAAGUCGAACGGUAACAGGUUAAGCUGACGAGUGGCGAACGGGUGAGUAAUGUAUCGGAACGUGCCCAGUCGUGGGGGAUAACUGCUCGAAAGAGCAGCUAAUACCGCAUACGACCUGAGGGUGAAAGCGGGGGAUCGCAAGACCUCGCGCGAUUGGAGCGGCCGAUAUCAGAUUAGGUAGUUGGUGAGGUAAAGGCUCACCAAGCCGACGAUCUGUAGCUGGUCUGAGAGGACGACCAGCCACACUGGGACUGAGACACGGCCCAGACUCCUACGGGAGGCAGCAGUGGGGAAUUUUGGACAAUGGGCGCAAGCCUGAUCCAGCCAUGCCGCGUGCGGGAAGAAGGCCUUCGGGUUGUAAACCGCUUUUGUCAGGGAAGAAAAGGUUCUGGCUAAUACCUGGGACUCAUGACGGUACCUGAAGAAUAAGCACCGGCUAACUACGUG
rnacentral:rRNA from 1 species